CCAUUCACAUCUGAAACUGAGAAACUGCGUGUAAAGUGACACAAUCAACUCCGAUUACAUGAAACAGGAAGUAUACAAUACAAGAUAAGGUUGGAUCAUAAAUAUAGUUAAAAAACAACUGCCAACAUUGUAAGGUACUUCACUGCGAUGGACAAUAACUUGAGUUUGGAUGAUAGUGUUCUUUAAUGUGUUGUGUAUGUAGCUUAUAUGCAGACUUUUCUUCCAAAUUGAACUAAACUUAUUGCAAUGUGUUAAGUGUUUCAAGACAGAAACAGAGACGGGAAAUAGACACUACAGGGAUGAUGUUCAUAGAAUUCUCUUAUACAACUGCACUGGUGACCGGGAUUCCUUCACUAUGAUGAAGCCGUUUUUUGUCUUGUGGUGUUGAUGCAGUACUGUUUUUUGUAAUCUUGCGUAUGAAAUUGCUCUCAGUGCAGAUCAAACAAACAAUACAGUCACUAAAGAAAACCAGUGCAAGCCAUGUGUCACCAACGAAGAGAAUUUCAAAGAACUCUAAAGACAACAGUACAAUAUGGCAGUUGUAACAAGAUGGUGAUGGGUGACCUUGGUACCAAGCAAAUGAUGCUGAUAAUACUGAUAAACGACAUGUGGAAGUCUUGAUCAAAGAAAGCUUGUCCUCGGUAGGCGGAGCUAAAAAGGUCUUGUGGGAUAGGCGGAAGUAAAUGAAUCCUUUUGGAAUAGUGACAGAUUUUGGGCUGUCUUGUUAUGCAAGUGGAUAGUUCACGUGCAUCUUGACUAGGCGACCCAGAUACAAUCAGCGAUUGCGAUGCAUGUGAGCUUGGUUUGUUGCCAACAUACCAGACAUUAGGGGUUUCCUUCGGGUACUCAGGCUUCCCCAACAGCACCAUGCCUUACCAAAAUUGAAUAUCUUUCUGUGAAAAAAAUGAAAAUGCUAGAAAUUGCAGCUCUACUUAAAAAUUCAUCCCAUCUUUCGCAAGUCUAGUAAGUUACUAUUAAAUUGUGCUGGUCAAAAAUCCGGAUCUUCACAUAGUGCAGCCACAGGAGCAGAAGGACUUCAUAAUUGUCUGAACGCAUACACUUGAUGGAUUUUUGCUCAGGACAAGUUCACAAAUCAUAAAAUAGUGUCAAUAAUAAUGUUGGUUUCAUGAACAUCUGAUAUAUAUUUACCAUAGUAUUUAUGGGACAUUGUUAACAUACUAUCUCGUAUUGGGGAAUAUGUUCAUAGAAUAAAUUGAAUGUACAUUUUACUCAUUUGUGAUUUAAUCUGGUUUGUACAAAGCAUAAUUUAUUAUAAUUGUGUUUAAAAGGUUUGAAACAGUUUCAGGAAUACUGAAGAUUGAAAGAGACCAUUGUUCAAGUCACGCAAUGGUAUCUUUUUUAAAACAGAAUUACUCUUGAAAAACGUGUAUGACUAUCAUACAAUAGGACUAAUAUUUAAUGUUAUAUUUAAUGAAAUCAAG